UGGAGGAAGAGGAAACCGCCUUUUCGGUUAAACCGAUCCUCCGCAGCCCCCGGAGGCUUUUCUAGUCCUGGGCUGGCCGUGCUCGUCCCGCCCUCUGCCUCCCCAGCCCGGAGGUUGUGCGUGCGCAGGGGUUCGCAGGCCUCGACCUGGCGUGUUCGGCCGAGCCCUCCACCUUUUCUUCCAUCUUAGAUCUGCUUUCGUAUCUGUAUCCCCAGCUUUGUGUUCGAAACUCCUUCAAUCUCAUUUCCGUGUUUUUUUGCACCGCGCGGAAUUGACACACAGACCUCUGCGAGAUUAAUUCAGUGCAGCUCGGGACCUGGUCUUCCUGCUCUGACGUCCCGGCGACACCCAGCUAGAUCACGCACUCUGAUUCUGCUCCUGAUCCCGUACAAAUAACUUUGAUCACGCCGAAACUGAUAGAUUAAUUAUCAAGCUCAUGAGAAAGUUUCUUCUCCGUAGCUUUUAAGGAGCAUGUGUUUCACCACGCAGUCAUUAUAAAGAUGAAAUAUUAGCACUUGUGAAAUGAUCUGAAUUGGAAUUAAUGGACCACGUACAGUACUGUGCCAUCACGAUUGUCCUGCUCUACAUAGACCAGUAAAAGUAUAAAUCACUUCCCCUACAUCACCAAAAGACCUGGCUCUGAUGCUGUUCUUGCCUACUGGUUUUAUGAUCUUCUGUUUCUGUGCCCGUCACCGGCUGACUGACCUUCUCAAGGGGGGACUGUUGUAUGUUGGGUUCAUUUAUAUUCUUAGUCUCACCUGAGAGGAACCAUCUUCCGUGGAGCUUGGCUUUCCAAGGCAGGCACCGUGGGAAAAGGUAGAGAAGUGACGACGUGUAGAUCACAGUUUUGAGUUCUUACUUGACCUCCAUACUCUCGGACACAUGAGUGGAGUUCCCGUCUUCCCAAUGGAUGCCACAUAGAAGAGUUUUUACAAGCACAGACCUGAACCUGGCUGCAAAAGGCCUCAUCCCAAAUGGUGACCAUGCUCUGCAUUUGAAAGGUCCUGCUGGACAAAACCCCAGGAUUCCUUUGAGAGAGAGAUGUGCGCUGGGGUGUCCCUCACAGCUCUGCGGGCAGGCGUCUGAGGUAUUUCCUCACAGUCCAUACAUGAGAGGGAAGUUCACCAGGAGAAGAACAUCAUGAAGAACGAGGUCUGUCCGUUCACCCUUCCAUCCAUGCAGGAGGGCGUUACUGCGCAGCCAUCAAAUACAAGGCACACGUCACUUCGUAAAUGGGAAGGGGAAAGACGCGAGGUUGAUGGGCAGGGCAGAGAGUCACAGCAGCCCGUUCUGUGUGGACUUCAGUCGACAGCUGGGCAGGAAGAUUUCUAAUAGCAACCAGUUUCAUGAAAUUGGCUCAGAGCGCUGCCUGUGAAUUAUUUGCAGCAAUCAUUCUCUAGGACAGAGAAAGAAGCCUGACGCAUUUCUAUGUUUGUCCUUUAAAUGUUCAUAUUCCUGGAUGGUUGAUCUUUGGCCCACGGAAUACCUGGGUAUAUAUUUUCUUACUCUCCAAUGAUGGGAUUUCCCAGGGCGAAAUUAGUACAGGACUUUGCAUGAAUAACAGUUCCGAAGUCACUGCAAUCUGUAAUUUCCUGCCUUUAAAGGUGCUUUGAAGUCGGUAUGAAUUGCUCCAUAUAUAACCUGCAUGUGGUCAAAUAUAUGCCAGCUCCGUCUUUUGGCAACUGUUUUGCUGUGGCUGUUCGCCUCU